rnacentral:misc_RNA from 1 species
GAUGAAGAACGUAGCGAAAUGCGAUACGUAGUGUGAAUUGCAGAAUUCAGUGAAUCAUCGAAUCUUUGAACGCACAUUGCGCCCUUUGGUAUUCCAAAGGGCAUGCCUGUUCGAGCGUCAUUUGUACCCUCAAGCUUUGCUUGGUGUUGGGCGUCUUGUCUCCAGUCCGCUGGAGACUCGCCUUAAAGUCAUUGGCAGCCGGCCUACUGGUUUCGGAGCGCAGCACAAGUCGCACUCUUUUCCAGCCAAGGUCAGUGUCCAACAAGCCUUUUUUCAACUUUUGACCUCGGAUCAGGUAGGGAUACCCGCUGAACUUAAGCAUAUCAAUAAGCGGAGGGA